GGUAAGAUGGCCGAAUGUCAGGCGGUAGGCUGUAGUCCUAUUUAUGGGGGUUUGAUUCCUCUUCUUAUCA
rnacentral:tRNA from 1 species